GGAUGAACGCUGGCGGCGUGCCUAAUACAUGCAAGUCGAGCGAACAGACGAGAGUGCUUGCACUCUCUGACGUUAGCGGCGGACGGGUGAGUAACACGUGGGUAACCUACCUAUAAGACUGGGAUAACUUCGGGAAACCGGAGCUAAUACCGGAUAAUAUUUAGCUUCGCAUGAAGCAAUAGUGAAAGACGGUUCUGCUGUCACUUAUAGAUGGACCCGCGGUGUAUUAGCUAGUUGGUGAGGUAACGGCUCACCAAGGCAACGAUACAUAGCCGACCUGAGAGGGUGAUCGGCCACACUGGGACUGAGACACGGCCCAGACUCCUACGGGAGGCAGCAGUAGGGAAUCUUCCGCAAUGGACGAAAGUCUGACGGAGCAAUGCCGCGUGAGUGAAGAAGGUUUUCGGAUCGUAAAACUCUGUUGUAAGGGAAGAACAAGUACGUUAGUAACUGAACGUACCUUGACGGUACCUUACCAGAAAGCCACGGCUAACUACGUG
rnacentral:rRNA from 1 species